CCAGACUCAACAUCUGGACUCAACUCAACUCUGUCACACAUGUUCAGAACUCAACCAGAAAUCAGAUACUGGACUGCUUGCUGCAGUGCUACCACUUGUUAUAGUGGUGGUCGUGAUUGCACUAGGUGUGAUCUAUAUCAUAAUGAAAAAGAAACGAGGUUCAUAUAUAAAUCCCAAUGCACCAUAAUCUGAUGGAGUGAAAAACAUUAUGCACAAAUGAUGAUCUGACAAUCUAACAGACUGCAGUGGCUAUGACAGAUCUCUGACACAUAUGAUGCUGUGUCUCAGUACUCUAAGAUCAUGAACAAAUAAAUUUUAUAAACAAAACUUUGUACAACAUUAUCAUGAUUUUUAAUGCCAUUUUUAUAAAAACUGUAACUGCAUUGAAUUAAUUUGCAUUAUGUAUAUGCAGCAUUGAUUUAAAAAAAGGUACCAGAGUAAUUGUUGUAUAU